GCUACAAAAGAAAAUGUAGGCAUAAGUAACGAUAAUGCGGGCGAGAAACCCGCACUCCGAAAGACUAAGGUUUCCUCAGCUAUGCUAAUCAGCUGAGGGUUAGUCGGGACCUAACGCGAACCCGAAAGGGGUAGUGGAUGGACAACAGGUUAAUAUUCCUGUACCUGCUCACACUAAAAGUGACGGAGGCGAAAAGUUAGUGCGUACUGACGGAAUAGUACGUUGAAGCCAGUGGUAACACGGCAAUAGUACACUGAGGCUACGGUCAAGGUGAUAAUCUAGCAAAUCGACUUCCAAGAAAAGCGAGUGAAGCAGCCCGUACCCUAAACCGACACAGGUGGUUGGGAUGAGAAUUCUAAGGAGCUCGAGAGAUUCAUGGCUAAGGAACUAGGCAAAAUCGACGCGUAACUUCGGGAGAAGCGUCGCCCAUCUUCGGAUGGGCCGCAGUGAAAAGAUCCAGGCGACUGUUUAUCAAAAACACAGGGCUAUGCUAAAUCGAAAGAUGAUGUAUAUGGCCUGACACCUGCCCGGUGCUGGAAGGUUAAGUGGAGGGUUUAGCUUCGGCGAAGAUC
rnacentral:rRNA from 1 species